rfam:Caenorhabditis japonica strain DF5081 Contig18149.6, whole genome shotgun sequence.
UAGCGAUGAUUGAUGAUUUGUGCACUGACCGAGGCUUGCGGAUGGCGAUGUCGCCUGAGAAGGCGGGACCCAACGUCGCGCCGCUUGCCAGAAGAUGGAAGUUUGCGCAAAGUCUGAGCUAU